rnacentral:rRNA from 1 species
UACGAAGGGGGCUAGCGUUGCUCGGAAUUACUGGGCGUAAAGCGCGUGUAGGCGGACCGUUAAGUCGGGGGUGAAAGCCCAGAGCUCAACUCUGGAAUUGCCUUCGAUACUGGCGGUCUUGAGGAUAUGAGAGGCAAGGGGAAUUCCGAGUGUAGAGGUGAAAUUCGUAGAUAUUCGGAGGAACACCAGUGGCGAAGGCGCCUUGCUGGCAUAUUUCUGACGCUGAGACGCGAAAGCGUGGGGAGCAAACAGG